CACGUAGGGCGCAAGCGUUGUCCGGAAUUAUUGGGCGUAAAGAGCUCGUAGGCGGUCUGUUGCGUCUGCUGUGAAAACUCGGGGCUUAACCCCGGGCCUGCAGUGGGUACGGGCAGACUAGAGUGCGGUAGGGGAGACUGGAAUUCCUGGUGUAGCGGUGAAAUGCGCAGAUAUCAGGAGGAACACCGGUGGCGAAGGCGGGUCUCUGGGCCGUAACUGACGCUGAGGAGCGAAAGCGUGGGGAGCAAACAGG
rnacentral:rRNA from 1 species